rnacentral:lncRNA from 1 species
GCUCCGAUUGGACCCCUAGCCUGGGAACUUUAUAUGCCACAUAUAAAGUAGUAGAAAAAAAAAGUAGUAGUAGUAGCCAUACAAAGCCUGCUAUUUAGAGACAAAGAAGUAAAUACCUAAAUAAUAAAACAAGUUAAACUAAUCUAUUGAACUGCCUUUACGGGAGAAAAAAAAAAAUGGGGAUGGGGUGGGAGGAUGGGAUACUAACGGGAGUUUUGUACUUGUUUUGUCUUUUGCCUCUUUCUAAACUGCAGUUAAAUACCACAGUGGAUUUUUAAGCAGAGGUGUGACCAGCUCAAAUCUGGGUUUCACCAAAGAGUGGACUGAGGUCCUCAGAUGAGUCUGGUCAGCAGGUUCAGGGACCUCCAGCCUGGUUAAGUGUGUGACCAUCAAAGGAUGUUGAACCCAAGAGACCUGACAUCCACAUCUGCCUCUGCAGAAGAGGCUGUGCUGCCAGGGAUGGUGACGCAUGGCUGGCCAAUAGCCAGCCACCAUCAAGUCUAUUCAUCCAAGACGCAUGAAAAGCUCAACACAAAGCCAGCUUUCUCCCUGAUAAAACAGAGUGGACCCAGUUCUUUUACCAUCCCACAAUGGGUCUUGGCUACAUGAGCAACGAUUCUUCACAAACACCGAGGUGUAGGAACCCACAAACCAAAAUCUUUCCUGCCUGUCCCAACAUAACAGCCCUGAUUUUCCUGGGCUUCACCCUGGUCCCAGAACUGGUUCUACACCUGACCAAUCAGUCGUGGAUACUCCUAGCCUCAGUGAUUGUUGAGGGAGUGCAUGUGACCCAUCAGAACCAGUAAAGAUUUUAUUUUGGGGCUUUUCUGAAACUGUUAGAGGAAACUUUUCCACAGAGAUGACUGAGAGGAUAGAAUGAAAACUGUGGGAGAUGGCAGCUAUAUUGGCACCAUGAGGGGAGAGCCUGCCAGAAACAGGGAGAGAGGGAGUAAAGGAAGAAGUCCCAAUGACACCGUGAAAUCUUGGACCUACCAAUACUUUACAAUCUAACCCUAUACUCCAGACUUCCCCAGAGCCAAAACAGCACCCAUACACACACACACACAGACACAUACACACACACACACAGUGUCACCACUGAUUUGUUUUGUUUAAGCUACUUGCAAUUGGAUUUCUGCCAUUUGCAAUUGAAUUCAGCCUUCAAAAAAAUAUGAAUCUCUCAGAGUCCCUUAAAAAAAUUUUUUUUUGAAAAAUAUGCCUUAAAGGAGUCAUGCUAAUGUAUUCAGGGAGGGGAAGGUCAUGUACUGUAACUAAAUACAGGUGACUGCUGGAGGGAUUUUUGCCCCUGUCAGUAAAGCCAAGCUUAUAAGGAACAGAGUUUGGGGAACUCAAUUCAACCUAACUUGUGAAAAGCACUUCUUUCUUUCAAUGCAUCUUAAAGCCAGCUGGCCACAACUGGCCUUGUGCUUGUUUGCCUUAUUUCCUAGUUGGAGAACAGACUGGAACAGGAUUCUUUGUUACAAUUACAGGCAAAUGUGUCUCCCAAGGUCUGGGUGGGGGUUGCUCCCAGGAGCUUCCAGGGACGAGAGGGAGCUGGCUGUUUUCCCUGCAGUAAAUGGUCCGUGGAGGGAAGCGAAUCUGAACUCCAAGCUCAUCUCAGGAGAAUGAGCAGACCUUUUACCAGUUAAGAAAGAUAAGCCACAUAUCAUCCAGGUCUGUUUACCAGCUGAUUAUUUUCUAAAUCAGCACUUGAAGGUCUCCCUGGGCCUAAAUGAGGCCUCAGAUCUUCAAAUCUGAAAAGCGUGUGCCACAACCAUUAGGUGACAGGCUGAGGGCAAUUUAUUCAAGCCAAGAACUGCUUCAAUGUGUCACAGUGUGUCAAAAAUACAGCCCUGAUUCAGCCGAGAACCCCAGCUACACCAGACCUGCACCACUGUGCCUUGGAAAAUGGCAGGCUGGUGUCACCACACUGGGGACAAGCCCCUGUUUUCUGGCCAAUCCACUCACCACAGCCUCAAUGAUCUUACCUGUAGGCUGAGAAGGGCAGCCUUGCCCCUUCCCAAAGGCCUCCCCAGAACCAAGCGAGACGAGGAGGGGACGUCAGUUUUUAAAAAUAACUGUCCUUACAAAUUAAAGAUGACACCGAACUUCAGAAGAUCCUCGGUAAUGCCAUUUGUAAAUACACUGCGUUCUGCUCGUGGAAAGACUUGACAGGCAUGACCUGAGCCCCACAAGGCCCCUGGAGGACAAGCUCGCCAGGCUCUGCAAGAAGGAAGGUCCCUAAUCUACAGAUCAGAGCACUCGGCCUUGGGGAGAAGCAGUGGCUUGGUCUGAGGUCACACACGCAGAGAAGCAGCUUCGAAACCAUAACAUGACAACUGUCUUUUCAUGAAUUGUUUUUCGCUGGUUCGGGGAAACAAUUGUUUUUGAUCAAAUAUAUGAUUUAUGUUGACCUGUAAUGGGUUUAUUACUGUCUCUAUUAAUGAAUGAAGACGCAUUUUUAGAACAGCUUUGCUUUACUCUCUAACACAGCAGAUAUUAUAGCUGCUGCCCACAAAAACCAAGGCUCACCAAACCACACUCUUCCCCUCGGCCGCCCUGCAAAGACCCUGCUUGGGGAAACACCAGUGACUUCAUCAGCAGCAGACCAGCUGCUCUUUUCUCAGGCCUGCCUGUUCUCCUUCUGAUUUCCCAAAAAGAACACCUCCAUGUGCAGCCACCAUGUCUCCACAGCCCUUUCUCAUGUUUGCUAAUCUCCGUUUUAAGAAAAAGGACGUGAGUCAGGCCCAGAGCCUUUGCCGGAGAAGGGAACCUACCAGAACUUGACAAGCAAAACAAGAAAUCCACUGGAGACAAAAGAAUACUGAAAGCUGUGCCCUAUGAGGUGGGCUCGUCUCUGAUUCUUCACUAAAAAGCCUGCUUUCAACACAGUUGUCUCCCUUUGAUGGUUUUUCUUUUUUCUUUUUUUUCUUUUUGGUCUGUGUUAGGACCACACUGGCAGCAUAUGGAGGUUCCCAGGCCAGGGGUCGAAUCAGAGCUGCAGCUGCCAGCCUACACCACAGCCACAGCCACAGCCACACCAGAUCCAAGGCAUGUCUGCAAACUACACCACAGCUCAUCGCAACACCAGAUCCUUAACACAGUGAGCAAGGCCAGAGAUCGAACCUGCAUCCUCAAGGAUUCUAGUCAGAUUCAUUUCCGCUGAGCCAUGAGGAGAGCUCCCCAAUCCAUCCUUCAAGAGCGUUUGUGGCAGCUAUGAACACACACAAGGAGAAGCACUUCCCCAGAGCUUGGGUGAGAGGGGUCAAGUGCCCUCCAGGGCUGCCAGCUAGAACUUCCUGCAACAAUGUGGAUGUCCUGCAUCCAUGCGGCCUGCCACAGAGACCACCCACUACACGUGGCUAAAGGAAAACUUGGAAUGUGCUCAGUGCAAGUGACUGGAUUUAAUUAAAUUUUUAUUUUUUAAAACAUUUAUUUUGGAGUUCCUGUCAUGGUGUAGAGGAAACGAACCCAACUAGGAAGUCAUUGAGGGUUGGCUCCCUGGCCUUUCUCAGCGGGUUAAGGAUCCGGCAUUGCUGCGAGCUGUGGUGUAGGUCACAGAUGCAGCUUGGAUAUGGUGUUGCUGUAGCCGUGGUGUAGACUGGCAGCUGUAGUUCCGACUGGACCCCUAGCCUGGGAACCUUCAUGUGUCGUGGGUGUGACCCUUUAAAAAUUUUUCUUUUUUAUUGAAAUAUAGUUUAUUUACAGUGUUGUGUUAAUUUCCACUGUAUAGCAAAGUGAUUCAAUUAUACAUAGAUGUCCUUUUUCAUAUUCUUUUCUAUUAUGGUUUAUCACAGGAUACUAGAUACUAUGCUAGACAAUAGGAUACAUUUUUAUUUUUGGGGAAUAAUUCAUGUCACUCCGAGGGGCUUGUGUAGGCCAUCCUGGACAGCCCAGGUCCAGCUCCUGGAUCCUGGAUUUCACUCUGUUCUCCACUGGGAGGGAUCACGCCAGGCUCCUGGGCCCUCCUGCUGCUGCCUUCUUUCUUUGCCUCUGUCCAGGUUUUUCUUGCCACAGAGAGUGGCCAUCACAGCCCUGUGAGAAGGGCAGCCAGUCCCUUAAAUCUGAAUUCACCUUCAGGAAUUUCGCGGCAGAGGCAGAAUUGGAAAGACUGUGCCAGCAUGGAGGUGAGGUCCAGGGAGCCAGAGGAGAAAGGCCAAAGCAAGAGGGUGCAGGAGCCAGAAGGAAGCAGAGGUGGAAAAAGAAGGUGGGAGAGCGCAGGAGCCCCCAGGGAGCUAAAGCCAGCUCCCCAAGGUCACAAUAUCCCAGCACCCUGCAGGCCCAGCUUCCCAUCAACCAGUUUCAUCCAACCAGCAAGUUUCAUUCAACCUGCUGAGGACAACCAAAGGGAUGGAAACAUGCAUGGAAAAGGAAGAAAGGAGAAGAAAAUACCAGGGCCUCUGAGCUGGAAGCAACAGAUCACUGCUGGGGACCAGGGCAUCCCUCCAUCCCUCUUAGCCCUUCUUUUCUACCUCAAGCCCCAACUGCAGAGACAGAGGCCUCCUGGGGCAUCUGCCAAACCCAGCUUCUGUGGGGACUGUGCCCCUUGCAAAAGCAGAGCCCUGCCACCAUGCUUCUGAUGCAAGACCCUUUCCCGGGGGACGGAAUGGAGGAAGAGAGGAGGGAGAGGUGGGGACACAGGCGGAAAUGCCCAAGAGGGAGGAGAAUGCAAAGGAGAGAAAGGCAGGAGUUCCCGUUGUGGCUCAGUGGUUAACGAAUCCGACUAGGAACCAUGAGGUUGCAGGUUCGAUCCCUGGCCUUGCUCAGUGGGCUGAGGAUCCAGCGUUGCCGUGAGCUUUGGUGUAGGCUGCAGAUGCGGCUCGGAUCCUGAGUUGCUGUGGCUCUGGUGCAGGCCAGAGGCUACAGCUCCGAUCCGACCCCUAGCCUGGGAACCUCCAUAUGCCGCGGGAGCGGCCCAAAGAAAUGGCAAAAAGACAAAAAAAAA